AUGACUGGGCGUACCGGGAGUGCAGGCGGCCAGGUCAGUCUGAAGUGAAAGCCCGGGGCUCAAGCCCGGAAUUGCUUUGGAUACUGUCUGGCUUGAGUGUGCGAGAGGAAAGCGGAAUUCCAGGUGUCUCGGUCACAUGCGUAUAUGUCUGGACGAACACCGGUGUGUGAAACGCGGCUUUCUUGGCGCAUAAACUGACGCUUGAGGCUCCAAAAGCGUGGCGGAGCGAACUGGGAUUAGAUACCGCCGGUAGUCCACGCCGUAAACGCUGGGCAAUAGGUGUGGAUCGGUAUCGACCCCUUCCAGUGCCGGAGCUAACGCAUUAAGUGAACCGCCUCGGGGAGUACGGUCGCAAGAACGACACUCAAAGGAAUCGACGGGGGCCCGCACAACCGGCGGAGCAUGCGGUCAACGUCGAGGCAACGCGAAGAACCUUACCCAGGCGCGACGAUCCCGAGACCGCCGUGGAAACAUGGUUUCCCCCUCAGGGCGGACUCAGGUGACAGGUGUGGCAUGGCUGUCGUCAGCUCCUAGUAGUGAGAUGUUGGAUUAAGUCCCGCAACGAGCGCAACCCCUGUCCCUAGUUACCAGCGGUUCGCCCGGGCACUCUAGGGAGACUGCCGGUUGAUGAACCGGAGCAAGGUGGGGACGACGUCAAGUCAUCACAGGCCCUUAUGCCCGGGGCGACACACGUGCUAC
rnacentral:rRNA from 1 species